rnacentral:rRNA from 1 species
GACAUAGGUGGCGAACGUUAUCCGGAAUUAUUGGGCGUAAAGCGCGUGUAGGCGGCUCGGUAAGUCUGCUGUGAAAGUCCAAGGCUCAACCUUGGAAAGCCGGUGGAUACUGUCGAGCUCGAGUCCGGAAGGGGCGAGUGGAAUUCCUGGUGUAGCGGUGAAAUGCGCAGAUAUCAGGAGGAACACCAAUGGCGAAGGCAGCUCGCUGGGACGGUACUGACGCUGAGACGCGAAAGCGUGGGGAGCAAACAGG